GCGGAAAGAAGCUGAGUUCUUUGUCUCGCUCUCUCGCCUACCUUCAGCUGACGCGCAAGCGCACUCCCGCUGGAUGAAGGUCAGAAUAAAGUGGGGGAGGGCCUCGGAGUCGCGCAGGCGCGCUUCUGUGCCGGACUGCCAAGAUGUCGUUCCCCAAGUACCAGCCUUCGCGCCUGGCCACUCUACCCUCCACCCUCGACCCAGCCGAAUACGACGUAUCGCCAGAAGCCCGGAAGGCGCAAGCCGAGCGGUUGGCCAUAAGAUCCCGACUUAAACGGGAGUACCUGCUUCAGUACAACGACCCCAGCCGCCGAGGGCUCAUCGAAGAUCCUGCCUUGAUUCGUUGGACCUAUGCAAGAUCAGCAAAUAUCUAUCCCAAUUUCAGACCCACUCCCAAGACCUCACUCUUAGGAGCUCUAUUUGGAAUUGGGCCCCUCUUCUUCUGGUUUUAUGUUUUCAAAACUGACAGAGUAUGGGUGUGCCUCAGAAUGGCUGAGGGUGCUUACAGGCUUCUCACAGGAGGGGGAAGAAAACCUAGGGCGGGAAGCAAGUGAUGUGCUGCACAGCUGAGGUGUCUUGUUGACAGUUCCACACCUGCAGGAGCUAGGAGCUGCAGCAGCAAUUGGAGUAAAAAGACUGGCCGAGAGGAAAUGAGGCUCUAAAGAAAAUGGGGAGUGGAAAUGAGGAAGGAGGCAACUGGCUGAGUCUGCUCCAGAAAUCAAUGUAGGAGGGACUCAGGGGGUACCUGUCUGAUAUGAAAUUGUUGUGAGUAGGAGGAGAAGGUGAAGGAACUUCUCUUGAAACUACAUCUGCACAGUGCUGGACAGUCCGUAAGGUUAAAUACAGCCACCUGCUGGGAUGAAUACCACACCCAUUCUACAGAUGGGGGAAAAUGGAGCACAGAGAAGUUAAGUAACUUAUUCAGGGUUUGUAGGAACUAAGAGCUAGGAUUUUUUUUAAGCUUAUUUUUAUUUAUUUUGAGAGAGAGAUAGAGAGCAAUCAGGGGAGGGGCAGAGAGAGAGAGGGAGACUGAAUCCCAAGCAGGCUCUGCACUGUCAGUGCAGAGCCCAGUGUGGGACUUGAAUUCAUGAACUGUGAGAUUGUGACCUGAGCCAAAAUCAAGAUUUGGACAUUUAACCUACUAAGCCACUCGGGUGUCCCCAAAGAGCUAGGAUUUGAUCCCAGGUCUGACGCAAGUCCGAAUAUCUUUCUACCCUACCACAUCAGAAGUCUAGUAUACAUUUAGGGGUGUGUACAUACACACACGGGCAUAUACACACAGAGAGACACACACUCUCCUCUCCUGACUCCUUCUCUCUGACGUUGGAGAAAUACAAAAGCAGCUACUCCUCUCAACAAGGUUGGGGACCCCCAAGGCUGCCAGAGCCUGGCAUUUAACUUGCUUACCAUGGUGCCAUCAGCAAUCCUCUCGGGUGCCAGCUUGGCUUUGCUGGCCUUCUCAAAGCAGUCAGCAUCAGGCCCGUGGGGGGUCAUUGAGCUGUGCAGGCUGCCUCCCCCUGGCAGGAAUCCACCUUGCUUUGCCUCAUAGUGACCUUUGAUAAGUCCCAUGAAUUCACUCAUGCAGUUCCCUAGGAGGGUUGAAAUAGUAUUAUUUUAAUGUUUAUUCAUUUUUGAGAGAUGGAGAGAGAGCAUGGGCGAGGGAGACACAGAAUCUGAAGCAGGCUCCAGGUUCUGAGCUGUCAGCACAGAGCCCGAUGCAGGGCUUGAACCUAUGGACCAUGGGAUCGUAACCUGAGCUGAAGUUGGACGCUUAACCAACUGAGCCACCCAGGCACCCCUGAAAUAAUAUUAUUUUAAUUAUCUAAGGCAAAACCUGUAAAAUACCAAGACCUCCCAAGCAUUUUUUCUGUGCACUGCCAAGAAGAUAGGAGAAUAUGAUACAUUUUUAGGAUUACUAAAGAAUACAGAGGCGGGAGGAACCCACAAAACAUUCAUUAAUGUGGAACCCUUGGUAGGCAAAACUCUACUUGAUGGCCAUGUGGAUUGUCAGAGGUCUUAAGUUCCAUUGCCUGAAACAAAUGAUGUUGAAUCUAAAGAAAAUCAUAGCCAGACGAUUUUAAUAAUAAUUAAAAUGAAAGUAAUAAUAAAGAAUAGAUGUACUCUGUCAUCUAGGCUUAUAAGCCCCAUAUUAAAAUGAUCUUUUUUCCCACAUCUUAUCUAAUCCUCCUCCAAAUAGCCCCACAGUAGUACAUGGUAUCACCAUAUUUCUGAUUCCCAAUCCAGAAAACUGAGAUGGAGAGAGAGAGAGAGAGAGAGUGUGUGUGUGUGUGUGUGUGUGUGUGUGUGUGUGUGUGUGUUGAUGGAAGGGUCAUAUAAUGGAAAGAACGCUGGACUUGGAGUCUAUUAUCAAAUGAUAAUCCAUGUGAAAGGAUCUUAGUAUCUGUAAAAAACAGUCCAUAAAUGCUAUAUAGUCUAACAAAUACUAUCUUCUGUAGCUGAAUCUACCAUCUUAUUUUCCACUCUCCAAAAUGCCUCUGAGAUUCAUUCUUUUCUUUCUAUUUCCAUUGAUACUCUCUUUAUAGAAUCCUAAAUUUUUUAAAUUGGAAAGGAUCACUACUUCUACUCAGUACAGAAGAAUAUUUUAUGUCAUUCCUGGCAUUACUUCUUGGGUCUGCCUGCAUGCCUCCUGUGAAUGGAAGCUUUCUACUCAACAAAGCAGUCUACCAUAUUAUUGAAAAGCUCUGGGUGUUAGAAAGUUCUCUCACAUUAAAUGGAAAUUUGCUUUAAUAUAAGUAUGUUGGUUUUGUGCUUUCUGGAGUCAAAAAAUUUGACAAAAAAAAUCACCAUGUGCCUACUAUUUCAAUCAUGUUUCUAUUGAAAUAAACCUCUUUAUUGGAACAGCAACAUAUUUAGAGCAAGAAUUAAAGAAAUACAACACCUGAGCAAAUUUAAGUGUCUUUCUAUCCAUUCACCCAUCUACCCAUCCAUCUGUCCAUUCUCCACCCCAUCUGUCUACCGAUCCAUCCAUCCCACAGAUGUAAUUGAACACUCUGCUAAGUUCUGUGAUUGAGUAAGAAAUAGCCCCUGUAAAGUUACUUUCAUAGUCCCUUCUGUGACAGUGCCGAGAGUGAAAAUCAUGAGCAGAGCAGAGAGCUAUGACAUUGGCAACCCUUGCAAAGCUGGACAUUGGCAUGAUAAGUUCCUUACAUGUGAAGUAUAAUCAAGUGCCAAAAUAUUUCUGUCAUUGACUAGGCAGUCAUUUUUAUCCUGCCUAGGAAACAAAAUUCUGCUGCAGGCACACGUAGAAAAGGUAAGACCCGAAUCAUAGCUCUACUCAUUAUUCUAUGAAGCAGAAAUAGAGGAAAAGAAGCAACUGUAAGCAUAAAGUGUCUCUAUUUUAAAAGCAGGUCUGCUCAUGACUUAAAUGUGCUGUCACACUCCUCAAUCUAGUAUGUGUCCUCAGAGUCACCUUCAUGGCUUAAUUUUAAGAAGAGAGCAAUACAGAAUUCAGCUUUGAUCUGAAUAUGAAUUUAGGUAGCAAUGACUUUGGUGAUGACAUUUCUAUAUCAUUUUCUAUAUUUCAAAGGGCAGGGGGAGGGUAGACCUUGCCUCUCUGAUUAAUGCUGAAUCCAGUUGACUAAAGUACAUUAAGAUGACUGGAGGCAAUAUUUCUACAGAAAUAAUUCUUCACUUCUCCUAUAAAGUCACAUCAAAGUAGCAAAGAUUUUGAUAAUAUUGCUAAAGCAAUAGUUUUAAUAUAUCUGGAAAAAAUAAUUUCUAACUUGGGGUUCUGUGUUUUUUCCAACUAAAUCAGGCAACCAUACCUUUCUGUUAUCUAUCCUGGCCAAAUGUACUUGAGAGACUUUUAAAAAAUUAUAAGAGGCUUUUCACAAGGUCAUUUGUUUCAGGCAGGCUGAACUACAAGCUCAAGUCUAGGAGUGGCUGGAGAGCUGUAGCACAACAGCAAACUUGUCUAAGUUAGACAGUUCUAUUAUCCUUCUCUCUGGGUAGGGAGGUAAGCCACAGGCCAGUGUUUCUCAACAUGUGGCCUGUAGACCUUCCGCAUCAGAAGGUCUUGCUGCCUUGCUAAUUCAAAAUGCAGAUUCUGAGGUUCUACCUCAGAACCAACUAAUUAUACUCUCCAAGAGUGGGUGCUGGGGAUACAUUUUUUUAAAGAGUCAUUCUAAGUGAUUUUUAUCUCCCUAAUAUUCUCAAAGUGUGGUUCCUGGAACAGCAGCAUCAGCAUCACAUGGGGACCUGUUACAAAGGCAAAUUCUCAGGCCCCACCCUGGACCUUGCUAAAACAGAAAUUCUGAAGGUGGGGCCCAAGAAUCUGUUUUAACAAGCCUUCCAGGUGACACUGACAUAUAUGAAAAUUUGAAAACUACCAUAUCAGGUACAUAGAGGUACAUAGCAGCCUCAAAACAAGAACUCUGUGAAAUAGUGAAUUAUCAAGGGCUAGCAUGUGAGGUACAGGCUAAGCUAAAGCAGUUCUCCUGGACAGCAGGUCUUCUAGGGGAUUGAUUUCCAGAACAGUCAGGGCCUAUGAUGGGCUUGAUACUCUUCAGAAAAGAUGAUAGUUUAUUUUGACUCUAUUGACAAAGUAAUAUCUUUGUGGUGGUAACUGAUUGUAUCCUUUUCUCCACCAUAAUGAUGUCACCUGAAAAAUGUGGUGCUGGAAUUAGACCAUAAAAUGGCUUUCUUCCAUCCUUAGGGCCCUACUUCUCCACCUUUUAUAAAUGCCUAAAUUACCCAUUCAGUGCACUGUUAUAUCUUGUUGAGCUGGGGCACCUGGGAGCUGGUACAUAUAGGGAGGAACCUUAUAUAGACAGAAAGCCCUGAGGUUGACUAAGGAAAGGGAUUUAUUUUUAAGAAUGUUCCAGCUGUGGAGUGCCUGGAUGGCUGUCGGUCAGGCACCUGAUUCUUGACUUCGACUCAGGUCAUGAUCUCAUGGUUUGUGGGUUAGAGCUCCAUAUAGGGCUCUGUUCUGAGGGCGCAGAGCCUGUUUGGGAUUCACUCUCUCUGUGUUCGUUCCUCCCCCACUUGCUCUCUCUCUCUCAAAAAUAAAUAAACUUGAAAAAAAAAAAAGAAUAUUCUAGCUGAAAUGUACCUCAGAGUCUUUUCAGAACUCUACGUACAGAAAUGCAAUCUCCAAGAAGUGGAAUUGUACGUUGACCUUUAGGUUGGAUUUACAGCUAGCUAUUGCACAACUAAAAAUGCCAACUUCAUUAAAUAUAGCCAUGAAAUACCUUAUUCAUUCUUGGUGAUGCAUUUACUAAUUAAGUAAAUGUUUAUUAGAUGCAUAUUGUAUGUUGGGCACUGGGCUAGGCACAUCAGUUACUGGUAACGAGUGUAUGUGUGCUCUGGCACACAUUUAAUUCAAUUAAACCCUGACUCGACCACUUAACUAGAUGUGGGGCCUUGAGCGAGUUACUCAAUCUUUCCAGAUUACUUAAUCCUUUAUGCCUCAAUUUCACCUUCUCAAAAAAAGGGAAUAAUGAUAUUACCUCCCUCUUACAACUGUUUUGAGGAUUAAGUGGGUUAAUUCUUAUAAGGAACAUAUAGCCAUGGAAAAUGGUUAAUAAUUGUUAGCUGCUAGUAAUAAUAUUAAUAAAAUAAAAAUAAUAGAUUUAGUAAGUUCUGUUCUAGGUAACUAAUACUCCACAGAAACUACUUCCAGAAUGGAGUCCAUUCCCUAGUGUGAACGGCAGUCUGUUUCAUCCCACCAAAAUAAUUGGAGAAGGCACAUUUCCUGGCUCUCGAACCAGACUUAGAUCAAGAGCUUUCCAAAAACAACAAAGUUACCAACCACAUCCCACCAUUCUCUCUCCCAUAAAAAGAAGGGUCUGACAUGUAAAGAAAUGUCUUGCUUCACACUUUAUCAGCCUUUCUACCUCUCCUCAGGGCCAGGGAAACUGGGCUGUAGGCAUUAAUUACUUCCUUCUCAGAGUCAACACAUCACUGCCAUCUCCAUCUGUGGUGUUUCAGCCGCUACAAGUCUGAGGAGCAGCACUGGGUCUCGGGAGGCAGGAUCCUGAAAGCCAGCCAGAGCAUGGUGUCUGGAAACUCCUUGGUGGUAUUCCCAAUGGGUAAUAAGGUUCACCGCUUUGCUAUCUCUUUGGUUUCCAACGUGGCUUGGGAAAAGAGAGACUUACUGUGGUAAUAAGGAGGCCUGAAGGUCUUAUCGGCAACCCCCCAUCGAGGUGGGAAGAUGACAAAAUCAGCGACAGCCACCCCAGGGCGGACAGACUUGGCGGUCAAUACUGUGAAGAUGGAUGGGUCCUGUGAAAGCACAAGGAGACACUGAGCCCACGAUGGAAAGGAGGCGGCUGGACAAUGGCACAUGUGUCCCCACACUGGAAGGGGUUUCCAAGUUGAUGCUCUAAAUUCUGAUCAAACCACACAGGCCAGGCUAAGUGUUCUGGGCUUAUCGAUGAGGUGCAGUAAUCACUCAUCUGACUUUCCCCUCUUGCUGUGCAUGAAGCAAAAUGAAUUAAUACCAGCUAAGAAGACUUGGAACUGCUUUCUCAUCCUGCUGAGCCCCCAUUUCAUGCAAAUAUUACCAUGCGGGUCUGAGAACCAGUCGUGUCUGCCUCUCAACCUCAGGUCAGGGUGAGGAGCUGGGAUGUGCUUCAGGGAGUUCUUGGCAGAAUAGAUGCUCAGAGUGAGGUUGAAACAGCAAUAAAAUAGUAUCUAGCUUUUGGUAUAAAUGUAGAAUGUGCUUCUCUUUGGGGGCCUUGCAGAGAUUCCAGAUGCCAUCCUCAUUGCUUUCUUACCCCUGUUUGAUUCUCAGGUCUAAAAUCCACCACUUACAUCACUAGUUUGGACGGUGGUAGUGUCGAGGGAAACAAUAUUGUGAUUUUAAAAGAACUUUAGAAUCUUUCAGUGGAAAGAUUGAGAUUCAAUUUAAUUGAAAUCAAUGAUCAUGUUUGCUUUCACAUGCCAUUCUAGGGUCUGGGAUUUAAAGAUGGUUGAGAUCUAUCUAUUCCUUACCCCUUUAGCAUUACUAGUGGUGGUAGUGGUGGGGGGGGGGUUGCUGAAGGAGUCAUAAAACAGGUGUAUGAACAACUAAUCCUAGCAAGAUGCCAAGGAUAAUCUCACUUUAUAAGUAGAAAUCCAAGGGAGUAUAGAGAGUGCCUGCCUACCUGAGAGGAUCAGGGGAGGCUUCGAAGAGGAGGUGAUAUUUGAGGAAGGUCCUGAGGAAUGAAAGGAGAAAGAAAGAAAAAGGAGGGAGGCAGGAAAGAGAGGAAAAGGCAUUCGAAGCAUAGAAAACAAGAAAUACAUCAAAGUGCAUAGAGAUUUUGUCAAGAGGCAAGAAAGCAUUGCCAGGGUGCACUGGCAAAGGGAAGAGGGGCUAAGAGUUAAUACUGGAAAAAGGAGUCCAGGGCCAGAUGGUGGAGAACAUCAGAUACCAUGCUUCAGAGCUCAGAUGAUCCUAAACCACAGGGAGGCUGAAAAGGUUUUCUAAUGCAGUGGUAGAAUGACCAGACCUGAAUUUUGGCUUAUCGAUAAGGUGCGGUAAUCACUCAUCUGACUUUCCCCUUGCUGUGCAUGAAGCAAAAUGAAUUAACACCAGCUAAUUUUGGAAAAAAUCAAUGAUCAUGUUUGCUUUCACAUGCCAUUCUAGGGUCUGGGAUUCAAAGAUGGUUGAGAUCUAUCUAUUCCUUACCCCUUUAGCAUUGCUAGUGGUGGUAGUGGUGGUGGGGGGUGCUGAAGGAGUCAUAAAAUAGGAUUUUGGAAAAAUUUUGGGAAAAUAACUGUAGCAGCAGCACAGAGAUUGAAACUAUGCAAAGGCAAGCCAAAAACCCAACCCUAUUGCCGUGAGACUUUAAACUUCUUCAUCCGUCAUGAGAAAUGAUCUGAAACUGUUAAAGAAAAGGUAGUGAGGCUCAAAUAAAGCUCUAUCAGUGUCUCAGGGUCCUUUUUCAUGCUGUUUUGGUCUUGAUGCCUCAUUUUCUUUUCCCUUUUGGUUUUGUUACGAGUUGUUGCUCUUCAGAAAGGUAGUUUUGUCCCCCUAGAGAUAAACUGAACUGGCUCAGAGUAAUCUUCCUGUCUCUGGUUCUCUGGCUUCUGCUCUAAUUAUCCCGUCAGCUUGUGGGUUAAGUUAAUCUAUUAUGAACCAGGCUGCAAAAUGAACUUUCCCCCAGGAUCUCAGAGCUAGCACUUUUUCAUGAAUGUGGGGCCUUGGGAGCUUGCCCUGUAGACCAGGGACCUAUUUGUGGGCCUCUAAUUGAGUGAAAAAUAUGACCAAGUUCACUUUCUUUGGUUUAAAUUCAAGCACUGAACAUUCUGAGGAACUUUAGAAGAGGGCUGUCUGCUCCAUCACUGCUGAAAACAGCCAGGAGUAGAGGCACUGGAAUAGGCAGCUAGACCAAGCAGACUCAGCAUUUGUAAGCAGGACAGAGAACUUUCCAAAUCCAGAGAUUUUCCUUUCUUAUCACUUUAUCACUAAUAUUAGCCUUUUCCAAGAAGAAACUAAGUUUUUAGCCAUCUAUUGGGGUUGCUGUGAUCCUCUGUGUGAGAACCGGGCUGUGUUCAAGGGUGAGUGUUACAUGGAAGGCUUGGCUCUCCCACUAGCUUGUUAUUUACUCCUUCACCAAAGCCUUGCUGUAGAUGAUUCAAAUUCCUGUCAACAUAAUGAUGAAUGACUAUAUCGUGGCCUUCCAAGGGUGACACUGGAAACGUUAAAUCUGUGAACGUCAGGGGACUACUAUGGACCCCUCCCAUCCAAGGGGUACCCUAUCUCCAGGCCCCUCCAUGGUUCAGACUUACUGCGUGGUCAAAGGCCACUGAAUUAAUGACCAUGAAGUUCUCCAGGUUGUACUUGUAGGGGGUGUAGUUCCCGUGCCAGGCCACAACGUUAAAUGGGGAGACAUCCUGAUCACACAAACACAAAAAAAGCAGGAAAGGGUGAUCUUAGUACUUAACGCUUUUGUAGCUGUGAUUCUACAGUUUGUAUUUGGCAUCACUGUCUCUCCUGAUUUGAUUUUGUUCACAUAAUCUAAUAAUACCAUCCUUUGGGAGAAGUAUAACCCUGAAUCAUGUUGUGGUUGCUUCACGUGCCUACAGACUGUCCCUUGCUAAGCCACUAACCCUAUUUUUCCAGUUCAUAAGAUGCAGCUGCCUCAGAUCACAUGUGCAGCAAAAGCACAAUGCAUUCUCCAAGUAGUGCCUUUUCAACAAUUUUUAACACAGUUGUGAGAAUCUGCGAAUGUCAGCAAUUCUCAGACAAUCUGGGCCACCGUCUGGGUUUCCCAGUGCACUUGCUGUGACUGCUCUCCAGGUAAUUGCUGUCUAGAGGAGCUUCUGGUACACACAGUGCCUGGGUUGGUAAGUACAGGAGGGUGAGAAGGGAUCUAAGAGUUCCCUUAGGACUCAAGGACUUGAGUUUCCAGAACAAUCCUAAGGUGAUGCUUCCUGGGCCUGCCCUGGGGUAGGAGAGGAUCAGUGCUCUGUUACAGGAAGGUAGUCCCCAUUGUAGUUAUGCAUCUGUUCUGGAAACGGAACCCAAUUCAGAAUGUUCUAAAGACUUUACUGAAGGGACUACUCAGACAGAUAUGAUUAGAGUUAAGUGAACUGACUAGAGAUGGUGAGGUUUCUGAGUCUAGCAACAGUGGGAAGACAUUGCCAUUGCUGGGCCUGAGGGAUAUGGGAAGAAAAUGCUGUUAUAGGAUUCAAGCAAGAGCUAGAACCAUGAAGAAGGGGCUGUUUAGUGGUGUGGUGGUAUAUAUUUAACAACUGCCUCUCUGGAAAAAAUUAAAAAGCUCUGUUUUAUAGCAUUUGCUAAUUUCUGGGGUAUAAAUACUCUCACCAUGAUCAUUUUUUUUCAUCUACUAAUGUGAUGUUGCUGAACAAACACAAAGCUGGGAAGAAUGUGUAUAUUAGCUCUUUCAUGCCAGUAUGAACUGGUUUCAGCACACCACCGAGGCUACCCAACAGGAGCUGAGAUCAUGGAGGGAUGAAGUCCCAACUAGGCAAGAAGCAGGGGAAGAAAAACCCCAACUUGUCUUUCCUCCUGCCCUCCAAUUUCCUGUGAGUACCUCUCACAGGUUGAACCUAACCAAAAGCCUAGGGAGCCCAUAUAGGUCAAGCUCUCAGGUGACAGAUCGUGGCAGAGAACUGAUAAUGGAUCAACGUAGGAGGUCACACAAGGAAUAACCAGCACAGAGUUCACUUGGGAAGUGGAAACCCAUGGAGCUGCUGGCUGCCUCUAGAAUGAUGGCUCUCUCUCAACUGUAUGUCAAAAAUAAUAUGGGGAGCAUGCUUAAAAUGACUGAAGGUUUCCACACUCCGUUCCCAGAAGUUAUCAUUUUUGCCAGGCUGGAGUAACAUCAAAGAACCUGCAUUUUAAACAAGCCUCCCUCAGAAUUUCUGAUGCAAAUGAUCUCUGAACCACAUUCUGAGAAAUCCUGACCCAGACAAUAUGAAGGUGACAAUGUGUCAAUAAGGCAGGCAAUUAACUCUCAGGGGUUAAUUUUAAGUGCCAAACUAUUUGGCCUCUGCUGGUUAGCAUACCCUCUAGAUGCUGUCCAAGAAAAAUAAUAUGCCUUGAAAAAUAUAAGCAAUAUGUCAAAUGGGCAAAAAUAAUGCUAAUAGAUAAUGGUAAACAGAAGAAAUCUUUGGAUUGCUUUGUUUAUAUGAUUACUUUCUGCUAAUAUAUAUUCCAUAUAUUAAGUAAUAAUAUAAUAUAUCUGAUAUAUUAUAGAUUACAUAUUGUUAUUAUUUGUUAAUAUAUCCCUAAUAAGGGAUAAGCCUUUGCUUGUCUUUGAGUUUACAAGGCUGUUGGUAUAAACUAAGUCAAGCUAAUGAACUGAGUUCUACUUGUUUUGUAUCAGUCAUGGCUUGUAUUUGAAAUAUGGUGCCAUUGAUAAUAUAAAUAUUGGGUGACCUGCUUGUUUACUCAUUUCCCUUUUCAGAACAAACUAUCCUGCCUGUAUAUUAUAUUUUAUACACCAUUUAUAGAGAUCUACUAUAUUGCCAGGAUUUUUAUUGCUUGGUGAGUAGAAAGAGCAUGACCUUUGGAGUCAAAGAGAUAUAGGUACUAAUGCUUGUUCUGCCAUUUACUAUGGCAUUUGGCAAAUUAUUUGUAAUUCCCUUUUCAUGACUAUAAAUGAGACAAAUAGUACCUUAUUUGUAAUUAUUUAGUGGUAUGGUAAAGAUUAAAGAAUAUAAUAUAUGUCAAGUACUUAUAAAGAUUAAAGAAUAUAUGUCGAGUACUUAACACUGGCCUUAGCAAUCAGUAGGUGCUUAAUAUUCCCUUCCUGUCUUCCAAUCAUCCUCUUACUUUACCUGUUUGGCAGCAAAUAGCUUGCCCUGGUAUUUAUUAAUCACAGUGUAGCCACCUGGCACUUGGCGAUCUUCAUACCAGGCAACGGGUAUCAAAAAAUCACGAGGAUUGGCCAGGCCAUUAGCUCCUAGAACACAGCAACCCAAAAGUCUUUUAGACACUUGUGAAAUCAUAUAGGAAAGAUGCCUACAGUUGCACAAAGAGAAAGGGCUCUCUUCCAUGUCAAAAGCCAUUCCAUAAUUUGUUUUCAUUGUCCAAAUGCUCAUUGGAAUCCUUUUUACCUUUUAACUCCUAAAAGGAAGGUAAAGGAUUAGGAAAAAGAUUAGGAAACAUGAUUAGUAAAAAGAAUCAUGAAAAUCAUCAUCAUCAUCAUCAUCAUCAUCACCAGCAUCACCUCCUAAAGUUGUAGAGUAAGUAUGGCUUAUCAACCAUGUUACAGGCAUUACUGCAUCACUGCAGGUGAGGGGAGAGGAUGAGGCUAGAAAAGAGGCAAAGGGAAGGUCUGGUAGAAUACUAGAACUUCUCUUUUAAGAAAACCAUGAUGAUUCUAGAACUCAUCUACAGUCCUUGAUCUCAAAAAGGAAGGGUUACAUACUGUUGCCCCAGGCAUGCCUCUGCUCCUCAGACAGAACUCAGAAUCAAUCUGCAGAAUUGCUCUCCAGCCUGACAAAUCUGUCUGCCACUCAGGAAAAAAGUAUUCAGGACUUGCCUGCUUACCUUUGCUUAGGAGCGAGUGUUCCCUCCAGAGAAGGAAAAUAAAUCAAAAGACCAAAAAUAAAAAGUAUAAGUGCAAAAACAUAAUUUAACUCUGAGAGGAGAGACCUGGGGAGUGUUUUAUCAUUUCCAGCUCCUGGGGUUAAAAAAUAUAAGCCCCCAGCUGGUUAGUAAAUUAUAUAUAUUUUCCAGAGGGUACGUGUUCCAUGGAACCUGGAGGCUAUGCUGGCUGUAGAGCAGCAGGAAGCCAGACUGAAGUGGGAAGAGCGGGUGGUGAGCAGGAUGACAGACGGCCCACCGUGGCUCCAGCUGCCUCUCUGCUGCCUCCCACCUUCCUCUGACUAUUUGGAUCUCCCCAGGGGAGUGACCAGAAGGCACAUGCUGGCCUGGCCUCUUUUGCUCUAAAAAAGCUGUUGACAAGGAAAGGAAGAACUGGGAGGUGUGGCCACCACCUUCAGCAAACAUGCCAAAGAUGAAACCAAGGGCCCAUUUUCCAAGCCACUCCUUUCACUCCAAGAGAUGUUUUGAGAACAACUCCUACCACCUUCACUUCUCUCCUGCAUCUUCUGCCUCCAGUUUGCCAGAAGAAUCGGGGGUGGGGACCUUGAUUCACUUUUGAAAGUUUUAAUCUGCCUCAUAGAGGCUGUGGUUUCUAGCUCCUUCAUAGCUCCGAGUUAACUGUGUAGAUUUUGUGGAAUGUGAUGAGUAGGAAUGUGAAGUUUGUAGACUAUCCGCACUUCAGCCUGUGUCCCCUUUCCAUAGGAGUAUAGCCCUUGUUUAUAGCUUUUCUCUACUUUAUCGUCUACACACACCCUAUUGACUUAAGAAGAUGAUCUCCCUCCUAUUCACAAAGCUCAUUCCCACAUGUAUGUUUUUGCUUAAGCUGUUCCCUUUCCUUUUAUUUUUCCUCAACUCUUCGUCAAGGAUUAAUCAAAUCUCAUGUCUUCUGUAAAGCUGUUCCUGGUGACUUGGCCCCCCAGUAACCCAAACUUCUACAUCCUUCAGGAUAUACACUGUAUAACCAGAAAUCUAUUUUACAUUGUCUGCUCUUUAAUGGUCUAUAUACUACCCUAGAGAGAGAGAUUUAGAACAUGUUGGCUUUGGUUGUUCACUUUUAUGUAUGUAUUUUAUGGGAAAAGGCUUGUGUUACCCUUGAUGAGAUUCCUGUCAGUACCCUCAGCACAACACAAGAGCCAAGACUAGCUGAUGGAUUGAUAUACCGAUGAACUAAUUAAUGAUUUUAUUUCAUCAGUUGGGUCGGCCAUGACACUGAAUCCCUGAACUUAGAGGUCUGAAAAAAAUAUUUGGGGUUGCUUAGGGAGUUCUAAUAGGUUUCUGAACUUCUCAACUACAUUUGGUCUAGAGAAGUUGUCUGGAGAGGAAAGUUGAAAUUUGAGUGAGAUAAUGAGGGGAGAAGGGUGUGUCACUCUCAUGAGAUUAUCUGUCCUAUCUCUCAAGGGAGCCUAAAAGCUUGUAGUGAAGAUUUACCAAUUGGUCCCAGGUCAGGCAACUCAAAGUGGACGCCGUAGACCUCCAGGAUGUAGCCCCUGGUCUCCUCGAAGACAUCUAUGCUGAACCGCAUUCCUCUCUGGAAUGGGAAGCAGACACUGGUUUUAUGCUAGGUGCUGGAGAUAAACAUGACAGUCUCUGCCCUUAGGGAAUCUAUUACAGAAGACCCUGGAAGUGUGGGCACUUUCUGAUAGGAAAAUAAGGAAAUAGUUAUCUGUGUAUGUCAAGGUCUGAGCCAAAGAUCUCCCUGCCAGGACCCAGAUCUCAGGCUUCAGGAAGAGAAGAUGCAGGAAUCCUGAAGAGCACCAGGAGAAGAACCGUCCAGAAGUUGCGAGGGACACUGGAACUUGCUAAGUGGGACCCAAGUCCUUUCAGAGACCAUUACUCUGGCAGUGUACAGAACAAAAAGGAACACUACUUCUGACAAUGGGAGACUAGACCUGCUUAAACAGCCUCUGGCCCCUUAAACCCUAGGACAGUCUACUUCAAGGGGUGGAGUUUGCCUGGCCCUACACUGAACCAUUUGGGAGAUAAAAGGGCUAGAUUGUCCAGGUUCCAUUUGAUUCCUCCAGUUCUAAAUGAUGUGACCUCUGACCUUGGACUUUAUGCUUAUGAAUAAACCAAGCCUCUGUA